CGCCAAGCGAGGGGUGGGAUGGGAGCGACUGCUGGCUUCAUUCCAUGGUAAUUAUGUAAAUAUUUCCCUUUUUUUUUUUUUGGUCUUUCUCUGUUGCCCAGGCUGGAGUGCAACUCCGUGGGUGGGGGGCAGGGGGGAAGGGCACCUAGCUAGGACGUUUGAUUUAGGACCUGGUUGGGGCCACUGACCCCUGCCCACCCCUGACUGCAGGGUCCUUGAGCCCCUAGGAAGGGCCAAGAUGGGGGUGGGGGGCGCCCUGGCUCCAGACACCAAUGUUGGGGGUCCUUGUCUCCAAAUUGCUGAGCAUGGGAGGCUGUGGCAGGUGUUGGUGCAGCUGGAUGGGGAAGACACCCCGAUCAAAAGCGGGAACCCCGGGUUUAGACUCGACCUCGGUGGGCGGGGCUCUGGCCAAGAGAAGAAAAACGGAGUGGGGGUGGUCUGUGCGUGGACACUCGCCAGGGGACGUGGCCAGGGCGUGUCUGGGAUCUUGCGCCACUGAAGAGGCUCCCAGUCGUCAAAUAGAGUGAGGGAUGGGAUCCAAAGGACGGCGAGAAAGCCCGUGGUUGUCUAAACGUCCCUGGCUCCCCGAGAAGCAGUUUCCUCGGGGCCUUCCUGCCUUUUGGAUGAAUGGAGAUGCUGUGUCUGGGUCACUGCCAGAGCCGGGGCAGGAGAGGACAGAGGCUUCCCGGAGCGGCAGGGCCCGUCGCUAGAGG
rnacentral:lncRNA from 1 species